AUUGAACGCUGGCGGCAUGCCUUACACAUGCAAGUCGAACGGCAGCACGGGUGCUUGCCCCUGGUGGCGAGUGGCGAACGGGUGAGUAAUACAUCGGAACAUGUCCUGUAGUGGGGGAUAGCCCGGCGAAAGCCGGAUUAAUACCGCAUACGAUCUACGGAUGAAAGCGGGGGACCUUCGGGCCUCGCGCUAUAGGGUUGGCCGAUGGCUGAUUAGCGAGUUGGUGGGGUAAAGGCCUACCAAGGCGAUGAUCAGUAGCUGGUCUGAGAGGACGACCAGCCACACUGGGACUGAGACACGGCCCAGACUCCUACGGGAGGCAGCAGUGGGGAAUUUUGGACAAUGGGCGAAAGCCUGAUCCAGCAAUGCCGCGUGUGUGAAGAAGGCCUUCGGGUUGUAAAGCACUUUUGUCCGGAAAGAAAUCCUUGGCCCUAAUACGGUCGGGGGAUGACGGUACCGGAAGAAUAAGCACCGGCUAACUACGU
rnacentral:rRNA from 1 species